rnacentral:rRNA from 1 species
UACGAAGGGGGCUAGCGUUGCUCGGAAUCACUGGGCGUAAAGGGUGCGUAGGCGGGUCUUUAAGUCAGGGGUGAAAUCCUGGAGCUCAACUCCAGAACUGCCUUUGAAACUGCCUGGCUUGAGGCCGGGAGGGGGUAGCGGAAUUCCCAGUGUAGAGGUGAAAUUCGUAGAUAUUGGGAAGAACACCGGUGGCGAAGGCGGCGACCUGGUCCUUGACUGACGCUGAGGCGCGAAAGCGUGGGGAGCAAACAGG